CAAAUACAAAGAAUAGUUUAAUUAAAAUAAUAAUUUUGGAGAUUAUUGAUAAAGAGAUUCUUUUUCUUUGA
rnacentral:tRNA from 1 species